rnacentral:rRNA from 1 species
GUAGUUAUUAGAUGAAGAAGCAACAUAAUAGGUGACUAAUCAUAACAUUUCUGAUCAUCUCAAAUAUGACAUCUCAUCCAAGUUUUUUCCGACUCAUCAUUAGUCGGUAGUAUAUUGGCGUCCUGUGGCGACAACGGGUAGCGGGGAAGAAGGGUUGGUUUCUUGAGAGGGAGCAUCAGAAGAGGCUGCCACAUCUUAGGAAGACAGCAGCAGGGCAACUAAUUCAAUCAUCAUACAGCGAGGUAGUGACAACAAAUAACAACACAGCAGUUUUUGGUUUUGUAAUAGGAAGAAGUUAAGAAUAAUCCCCUCCUCAACUAUCAUCAGGAGGACAACUAUUGUGCCAGCAGCAGCGGUAAUUCCAGCUGCUACAGUGGAUAUUAAAGAAGUUGCAGCUAAAAAAAUGGUAGUAGGAUUUUUUUUAAUAAUAAAUAUAAAAUAUUUUGAUGAAUAUUUAUAUAAUAUUAACAUAAUUCAUAUUACUAUAUUUUUUAGUAUAUGAAAUUUUACUUUGAGAAAAUUAGAGUGCUUAAAGCAGGCAUAUGCCUUGAAUACUCCAGCAUGGAAUAAUAUUAAAGAUUUUUAUCUUUCUUAUUGGUUCUAAGAUAAGAAUAAUGAUUAAUAGGGACAGUUGGGGGCAUUUGUAUUUAACAGUCAGAGGUGAAAUUCUUAGAUUUGUUAAAGACAAACUAAUGCGAAAGCAUUUGCCAAGGAUGUUUUCAUUAAUCAAGAACGAAAGUUAGGGGAUCGAAGACGAUCAGAUACCGU